UAGGGAAUCUUCCGCAAUGGACGCAAGUCUGACGGAGCAACGCCGCGUGAGUGAAGAAGGAUUUCGGUUCGUAAAACUCUGUUGUUAGAGAAGAACAGCGCAUAGAGUAACUGUUAUGCGUGUGACGGUAUCUAACCAGAAAGCCACGGCUAACUACGUGCCAGCAGCCGCGGUAAUACGUAGGUGGCAAGCGUUGUCCGGAUUUAUUGGGCGUAAAGCGAGCGCAGGCGGUCAAUUAAGUCUGAUGUGAAAGCCCCGGCUCAACCGGGGAGGGUCAUUUGAAACUGGUUGACUUGAGUGCAGAAGAGGAGAGUGGAAUUCCAUGUGUAGCGGUGAAAUGCGUAGAUAUAUGGGGGAACACCAGUGGCGAAGGCGACUCUCUGGUCUGUAACUGACGCUGAGGUUCGAAAGCGUGGGUAGCAAACAGG
rnacentral:rRNA from 1 species